rnacentral:rRNA from 1 species
GGGUAGUACAGAGGGUUGCCAAGCCGUAAGGUGGAGCUAAUCCCUUAAAGCUACUCUCAGUUCGGAUUGUAGGCUGAAACUCGCCUACAUGAAGCUGGAGUUACUAGUAAUCGCAGAUCAGAAUGCUGCGGUGAAUGCGUUCCCGGGUCUUGUACACACCGCCCGUCACCCCACGGGAGUUGGAGACGCCCGAAGCCGAUUAUCUAACCUUUUGGAAGAAGUCGUCGAAGGUGGAAUCAAUAACUGGGGUGAAGUCGUAACAAGGUAGCCGUAUCGGAAGGUUCGGCUGGAUCACCUCCUUUCUAAGGAGA